rnacentral:rRNA from 1 species
GUGUCAGCCGCCGCGGUAAUACGUAGGGUGCAAGCGUUAAUCGGAAUUACUGGGCGUAAAGCGUGCGCAGGCGGUUAUAUAAGUCAGAUGUGAAAUCCCCGGGCUCAACCUGGGAACUGCAUUUGAGACUGUAUAGCUAGAGUACGGUAGAGGGGGAUGGAAUUCCGCGUGUAGCAGUGAAAUGCGUAGAUAUGCGGAGGAACACCGAUGGCGAAGGCAAUCCCCUGGACCUGUACUGACGCUCAUGCACGAAAGCGUGGGGAGCAAACAGGAUUAGAUACCCUGGUAGUCCACGCCCUAAACGAUGUCAACUGGUUGUUGGGUCUUAACUGACUCAGUAACGAAGCUAACGCGUGAAGUUGACCGCCUGGGGAGUACGGCCGCAAGGUUGAAACUUAAAUGAAUUGACGGGG